rnacentral:rRNA from 1 species
AUUCAUGACUGGGAUGAAGUCGUAACAAGGUAACCGUAGGGGAACCUGCGGUUGGAUCACCUCCUUACCUUAAAGAA